rnacentral:rRNA from 1 species
CCUACGGGGGGCAGCAGUGGGGAAUAUUGGACAAUGGGGGCAACCCUGAUCCAGCCAUGCCGCGUGUGUGAAGAAGGCCCUCGGGUUGUAAAGCACUUUCAGUGAGGAAGAACGCCUGGUGGUUAAUACCCAUCAGGAAAGACAUCACUCACAGAAGAAGCACCGGCUAACUCCGUGCCAGCAGCCGCGGUAAUACGGAGGGUGCGAGCGUUAAUCGGAAUUACUGGGCGUAAAGCGCGCGUAGGUGGCUUGAUAAGCCGGUUGUGAAAGCCCCGGGCUCAACCUGGGAACGGCAUCCGGAACUGUCAAGCUAGAGUGCAGGAGAGGAAGGUAGAAUUCCCGGUGUAGCGGUGAAAUGCGUAGAGCUCGGGAGGAAUACCAGUGGCGAAGGCGGCCUUCUGGACUGACACUGACACUGAGGUGCGAAAGCGUGGGUAGCAAACAGGAUUAGAUACCCGUGUAGUC